rnacentral:rRNA from 1 species
GUUAACUUUAAGUUUAGAUUUUGUAGUAGGUUUGUGUGCCUUUUGCAUCAUGCUUAUGCGAAAGUUGGAAUAAUAUCUUUAAUCGAAACUUUUGGAUCUUACUCUUACUUGUUUAGAAGUUAUUUAUCAAGUAGAUUUACUGUAAAGUAGGAGUAUGGUGUGAUAAGUUAAUCGUCAAAAGUUAUAGCUAUUUUAUAGCUAGAAAAUUUAAAUUAAUUACUUGGCUAAGAUGUCAAGUAAUAAAAUAUACUUGCAAUUAUUGUUGUGUAGUGAUAGGGUUAAAAUUACCUUUUUAUAAAAAAAGUGUUACAAUUUUAAGUAUUUUGUUCGUGAGUUAUUUUAAAUGGCUAUAUAUAGAUAUAAUUGGUUGUUUAUUAUGAAUGCUUAAAUAAGUAAUGUUAAUAUUUGUAUUAUUUCUCAAAAUUUGCCCGUCUGUUUAUUAAAAACAUUGUCAUAAAAAAUAUUUUAUGGUAGUACCUGCUCUAUGUGUUUAUAAAUGGCCGCAGUAUCUUGACUGUGCGAAGGUAGCAUAAUUAAUUGCCUUAUAAUUGAAGGCUUGUUUGAAAGGUUUGACGUGGUAAAGUUAAAUAUUAUAAGUUUUAUUGAAAUUAUUAUAGAGGGCACAGAAACCUCUGUGUUUAAUUAGACGGAAAGACCCCAGGAUCUUUUGUUUUUGCUUGGGGCAAGUUGAAAUUUUUCAUUUUAAUUGUGACCCUUAUGGUAUAAUGAGUUAAGUUACCCUGGGGAUAACAGUGUUAUAACUUAUUAGAGAUCUUAUCGAUUAAGUUGUUUGUUACCUCGAUGUUGACUUAGGUUUUAUUUUAGGCGCAGUAGUUUAAAAUUUAGGUCUGUUCGACCUGAUUAACCUCCAUGAGUUGAGUUAAGACCGGCGUGAGCCAGGUCGGUUCUUAUCUAUUUUUCUUGCUUGCUAGUACGAAAGGACCGCAAGCUUUUUUAUU